ensembl:lncRNA
AGCAGUAAUCAGACAAGAGGCGAUGACUGAACACACAGGACAGGCAGAGUACUUCCUGGGUGCCCAGGAGAUGGACAGGCGAGUGAGUGAUGGAUGUGGGAUCUUAGUUCCCAAACCAGGAAUUGAACCCCAUAGCCCCUGCACUGGAAGGCAAAAUCUUAACCACUGGACCACCAGAGAAGGCUCUCAGAUUUGUUUUUAAAAAAAUUUUGCUAGUUGCUGUUACAGAAUGGCUUUAAAAGCAGAGACAUCAGGGAGCAGUUUACUGCAGACCUCUCGGCAGGCAAUGAUGGUAGCCUGGUUAAGAUGGAAGAGGCGAUGCCGGCCACAAGAGCUGAGAUUUUAAGAAAAUAUAAAAGUCCAAAAGGCUGAGAACACACCCACACACCCUAGCCACUAGAUGGAGCCACACAUAGUCCUUGGAGGCACUGCUGGGAUGGGCAGCCCAGGUUCCAAGUUGGAUUCUCCACUGGCUUCUUUGGUAUACUUUGAUAUUUACUGAGCAGUGUGCCAAGCAACCCUCUAGAUGCUAGAGUUGUGAAAUCGACAGCGACGGUACCUGCCCUCCUGGAGCUGAUACCCUAGGGAACAGUUCUUACCUCAGUACUCUAGCCUCACUUCACCUCUCCCCUCUAUUAUUCUGUAGCUAAAUUGGCCUCCUAAUGUUCCAACAGGCAGAUAUUGUUGCUUCAGAGUCUUUGUAUCUGCUAUUCCCUUCCGCCCCAGGAAAGCAGGUCCCUGCUUCUUUGCAUUGCUGGUUCAGGUCUCAGCUCAAAAGUGACCAAGUCAGAAAAACGUGAACUUAUUUUGUUCGUUGACUGCCUAUUCUCUUCACUAAUUUGUAAGAUUCCGUGAAAGUUACUAUUUUCUUGGAAUCCCUCAGCCUAACGCUUAAUCGGUGCACAGUAAACGUAC